GGGCAGGUACUCAAGCGGUCAACGAGGGCAGACUGUAAAUCUGCUGGCUACGCCUUCGGAGGUUCGAAUCCUUCCCUGCCCACAA
rnacentral:tRNA from 1 species